UGGUCCCUGGGGAGAAAUGCAGAUAUUGGAUGAGUGCACUCCAGCUGGGAAGAACGCUAUUUAUCUUUCAUGAUGAGGAGCUGAGAAGGGUACUAGCCAUUGGCGAACUCCCAGGAGCGAAGCAGAUGCGGUGGAGAGCAUGGAGAAUGGCACAGCUAAUGAUUACAACCUACUGCCUUCUGCAACUCCGCCAGACGUCACCAUGGACCUUUUUAUUCCCUACGUUGUUAAUAACCAUUUUUAUGCCUUCACUAUUUUCCAUAAACUUAUUGUUUGUGGAAAUAAAUUCCCUGGUCAUAAUAACAAGAUAAACAAAUAAAAAUGGCAGACAUUUUUCUACUGA